rnacentral:lncRNA from 1 species
CUCCAGCUACUUCUCUGCUCUCUGCAAGUGCCUUUGCCCACCUCCCUAAACUCUGAGGAGUUCUGAUUGAAUUAGGUUCAGCUGGAUUGAUCUGGUUGUGCCCCAAGGCAAAGGUGAGGCUGGAGUCCAAUGGAGGGACCCAGCUACAGCCCUGUCUCUCCCUGGCUUCCUCCCCGCUGUCCAAGCUGGAUGCUCCGAGCCCAGCGCCCCGCUGCUCACAAGAUAUUGCCUGGAUGAAUGUGGUCAUGUUCCUCAAACUUUCACAAACCUAAGCAGCUCUCUAAGAUGGCACUGCAGUCACACUUUGGACAGUAAAGGAUUGUGGGGGAGAACCAUUGGCUGAGGAAAAUUCUGGAGAGCCCUGGGUCUUCUGAUUCAGGACUGAGAGCUGUGAAGUUCAGUUGUGAGUGGCUAAGGGAUCCCCCAAAGCCAUGAUAGGACCCAUAUUUCCUGCCUUUAGUUCCUGAAAAAAUAUUCACCAAGAAAUCCAUCCUAAUAGUUCCUCCACCCGCCAGUAAGAUAUCUAUUCCUGAAGAGGAGCUGGAAAGAGACUCACACAAAACCCUGAGCCCAGCCCUCUUGUUUCUUUGGUUUCUCCUAGCCUUCCCUGAACUCUGUUAAGAUUUAGUGUUAAGAUAUAUUAACUUAGAAACUAUAGGAGGUCAGUCAGCUGGGAGAGGAGCUGAGACAUUUUGUGGACUGACACCAGCCUCU